rnacentral:rRNA from 1 species
GAUGAACGCUGGCGGCGUGCUUAACACAUGCAAGUCGAACGAAGCACUUUUACAGAUUUCUUCGGAAUGAAGUUUUAGUGACUGAGUGGCGGACGGGUGAGUAACGCGUGGGUAACCUGCCUCACACAGGGGGAUAACAGUUGGAAACGGCUGCUAAUACCGCAUAAGCGCACAGUACUGCAUGGUACGGUGUGAAAAACUCCGGUGGUGUGAGAUGGACCCGCGUCUGAUUAGCUAGUUGGCAGGGCAACGGCCUACCAAGGCGACGAUCAGUAGCCGACCUGAGAGAGUGACCGGCCACAUUGGGACUGAGACACGGCCCAAACUCCUACGGGAGGCAGCAGUGGGGAAUAUUGCACAAUGGGGGAAACCCUGAUGCAGCGACGCCGCGUGAGCGAAGAAGUAUUUCGGUAUGUAAAGCUCUAUCAGCAGGGAAGAAGAAAUGACGGUACCUGACUAAGAAGCACCGGCUAAAUACGUGCCAGCCGCCGCCGUAA